AGCGGCGGACGGGUGAGUAACGCGUGGGUAACCUGCCUCAUACAGGGGGAUAACAGUUGGAAACGGCUGCUAAUACCGCAUAAGCGCACAGUACCGCAUGGUACCGUGUGAAAAACUCCGGUGGUAUGAGAUGGACCCGCGUCUGAUUAGCUAGUUGGUGGGGUAACGGCCUACCAAGGCGACGAUCAGUAGCCGACCUGAGAGGGUGACCGGCCACAUUGGGACUGAGACACGGCCCGA
rnacentral:rRNA from 1 species